UCCUUAAGAAAAUGUCUUCAUCCGGGACAUCUGGAGGUUUCAUUAAAGAGCAUAAUGUGUAGAACUCCUCCAAAUGUUUAUGUGGGCAUUCACCUACAAAACCAUGAAACUUAGGCAACAAAUGUAUCAGUCCAGUGUUGAAAACACAACGAAUAUCCUCCUCAUCAAGUGGAAACGGCUCCCUAGGAGAACUCUCAUGAGAUGGAGGAGGAACCGUACUGUUAUCAACAUAAAAGUCAGCAGAAUAUGCAUGAGAAGCAAUAUCAGAGUUAACUGCCGAAGGAGAAUCAAAGUCAUGGACAUAGGCAGAAGAAACAGUAUCCACAUAACCAAAAUAGGUAGACAUGUAGAAAGAGGGGGGAAAAGAAGAAUGCAAUGAAAAUAUGCAACUAAAGCUACCCAAAUGCAACACACAGUGACGAACACACAAAACAGAACAUCACACUCACACACAAGACAAGAUAACACACACUAACACAACAAAAGACCUAAAACCGAAUUGUUGGUCCCCGGCAACGGCGCCAAAAUUUGAUGGGUUGUCGCAGCCCAUACAAAUUUGAUGUGCAUAAAAGAAUGCAGUAUAGACUAGGAAGUGACUCCUAGGUCGUCUCUCAAGGACCAAAUGUGGUUCAAGAAUCAAGUCAGAUACGAAGUGGGGGGGUUUGUGAAGAGUUUGUGUGAAUGCGGAUGAAUAAAAUCAACACACGGAUGCAAACAAAAAUGUAAAACUGAAGUGCAGACAGAAACAUAAAAACGAAAUCAAAUACAGAAUAAAAACGAUCGGUCAUUAACUCAAUUACUCCCCGAUUAAAGACAAGUACACACUAAUUUGUGAAGAGUUUGUG
rnacentral:lncRNA from 1 species